CCAGCUGCUGCAGUAGCAGCCCCAGGCUGAGAUGGCUGCAGCACCUCUUCACUCCUGCUCUGGGCUCCCUGGACCCCGCUUCUUCCAUGCCCUCCUGGCCUUCUGGUGCACCUUUGUGGGCAGUGGCUCUGCCCAGAAUGUGAUCCAGACUCCAAGCUUUGUCAAUAGCUUGGCCGGGGCAAAUGUUAACUUCUAUUGCACUGUUGACAAAGGCUAUAAUUUCUAUUGGUAUCGCCAACUGCCUGGGAAGACAGAGCUGGAAGUCCUUGGGUCUCUCUACAGUCACAGUACAACACUCGAAGAUAUUCCAAAUGAUUUGAAGGAUCGGCUGAAUGGGAGGAUCUCAGACAAUUCAGAUACGUCUAGGCGGAAAAUGUAUUUGAAUUUGUCAAAUCUUCAGGCGAAUGACAAGGGCUUCUAUCUCUGUGCUGUGGUGUACACAGUGAAAGAGAGAGGAACAGUAGCAGGUGCAAAACUGAGUAUCAGGAUGAAAUCUGCCCUUUACUCUUUUUGA